UAACCCUCCCGGCUCUGGUUUGCAAACUGAAAGGAGGUUUAACCCCUUAAGACUUCCCCGGCCCUAAAUGCUUGCCAGGAACACAGAGCUGAACAGCAUCUUGGGGUGGGGGUGGGGUUACCAUCCUUCUACCACCCCCGAGUCCUUCUGCUCCGCGGAGGCUUUUCGAAAGCUGUGUUUUUAAUAGAGCUUUUCAGCAAGCCCAAGUGUAAGGCUUUGAGUCAUCAAAACCCGGAUGUAAACACAGCAGCCCUACAUUCUGCACAGUUUGCGUGUAUUUUAUCUUUUUAAUAAUAUUUAGCUGGCAACUUAAAACUGCAAGCAUGCCAGAUAUUUUAGCCAGCCACUUACAUCAUGCAGCCUCCAUCUUAGGGAGAGUAGUUGCCUGUCCUUGCCUUGUUUCUCAGGUCCCCGCCCCACACUGCAGGCAGUCUGGGUCCUUCUGCAGGAAGGCAUUUUGCUGCAGCUUAGCAAAUCCAGCCCCUUAGAACAUGACAUCAGCUUGGGCAACAAAGAUAGAGGACGGGUUCCUGUCAGAGACAAGACAUUGGGUGAGUCAAGUUGCCCUGGCUCUGUACUGGGCUUUCUACAGGAUGCCGAAGGAAGGACCUGGAGGAAGCCGGGACAAUGGCUAUCACAGGACGCAGAUGCCAGGGACAGGAAAGAAGAGAAAAUGAAGGACUAGAGAGAUGGCUCAGAGGUUAAGAGCACUGGCUGCCCUUCCAGAAGUCCUGAGUUCAAUUCCCAGCACCAACAUGGUGGCUCACAACUGUCUACAAUGAGAUCUGAUGCCUUCUUCUGUCGGGCAGGCAUGCAUGCAGAC
rnacentral:lncRNA from 1 species